rnacentral:lncRNA from 1 species
GCGCGAGCGCCAAACGCUCAGGGCCCAGGGGCCCUGUCCAGGGGAAGGCCCCCACCCUCCAUGGCCACAGAGCCCUUUCCUCCCUUCCUGUUCCCCCCCUGCGCCCUCCCUCCUCUCCCGCCCUCUUUCCUUCCUCUCUUCCUUUCUUCCUGUAUUGACUGAGCACCUACUGGGGGCCAGCCACUGUUCCAGGCACAGAGGGGUGAACAAGUGCCAGGUGCCAGGCCCUGGAGCUGACAGUCUGAUGAGCGAGACAGCCCAUACCCAUGUGGACACCUGCAUAGACAAAAUAACCCCAGAGAGCCACAACUUGGGCAGACGUCCUUUACUUCUGCUUAACUGCACGAACACCCUGGAGAACACGGGCCGUUGUGGAAAUGUGUGCUCAGUACGGCCGGAGAAAGAGAGGGAAGGAUUUAUUCUGCCUAAGGCGUUGGCGUCAGAGAAACACACAUUUGAGCAGGUCUUGAAAGAUGAGUCGGGAGGCGGCUGGAGUAAAACAGAGAGUGCAGCACACACAGGACAAAGGAAUGACGGGGGCACGGUCCCCACAGGGAGUGGUGAACGACGGCCCGGCUGCGCAGGACAGAGCGGUGGCUCUAAGACUGGAGGAGAAAGCAGGCCCAGAGGGUACAGGUUUGUGCCUUCGGAGGUCAAAGAGAGCCUUCUCGGGUUUUCAAGAAAAAGAGUGAUGUGAUCAGAUUUGUGUCUCAGAAAGUUAAUUCUGGCAGCUUCUGAAAGCUGGAGCUCGGAAGAGAGGCAGGGAGGCCAGCUGGGGGGCCAUGGCCUUGGUCCAGGUGAGAGAUGACAAGAUCUGAAGAAGAGCAGUGGGGAGGGGUGGAGAGGAGGAAAUGGAGCGGGUCCCCAGAUCCUGUGGUUGUGCCAGGUGAGAAAGAGGGAGGAGUCAAAAGAGACUCGGAGGUAUUUGGAAGAACAGUGACACCACUUCUCUAGUGAAGGGACAAAUCUGAAGGAGAAGGUGACGCUUUGGACAUGUUGCCUCACAGGUGUCUGUGGGACACCCUGGAGGUACCAGUCAGGCUGGGCUAGGCUGGGUUGGGCUGCGGUAACAAAUGAGCCCCAAAUCUCAGUGGGGUGACCCAAGAAAGGUGCAUUUCGUUCAUUCACAAAGCUGACGCAGGUCAGGCAACUCUCCUCCCUCUGGUAGCCCUGUCCUCUGGAACAUGUGGCCUCCAAGAUCACAGUGGCAGGAAGAGAGAGCCAGAGAUCCACAUGGGAUGUUUUGCAGGGGUCAGACCUCGGAGCCCCUCCAUCACUCACACCCCAUUGGCCAGAGCCCAGGUUCAUGGCCUCAACCUGUCUGCAAGGGAGGCUGGCACUGUGGGAGCACGUGGACAUCUGGCGAGCGCAACUCGUCACUGUCACACUGGCAAGGAGGCUUUGAAGGCCUCUGAAAAUGGUGACCAGGAGAGCGUGAGGGCCUGAGACACAGAUUUGGGCACGACCGCUGAAUGAGAUCACCCAGGAAAAAACACGGAGGAGGAGGAGAUAAAAUGGGUCGUCACACCAUCGUUUCCUCUGAGGUUGUGUUUAGAAAUUCCCAGAGGAUGACUCCAGAUUUAGUCUAAAAUCUUUGUUUCCAAAUAUCCGAUUACUUGUUGUCACAUAGACAAGGUAUUCAGGUUUUUUUCUUGAAUUUUUCGGUUUCUAUACAGUUCCUUGGGAUCUCAUAGGCAGCCAAAAGCAGUUAGCGAGCAUUUAAGUGUGGCUCCACAACGCUCUCUCCGUGUAAGGCCGAGGGCCUCACGAUUAUAGAUCUGUCUGGAGGACAGGUUUUCACAGCUUUCAAUUUUAAUAAACAUUUGGAAAGAGAAC